rnacentral:rRNA from 1 species
GAUGAACGCUGGCGGCGUGCCUAAUACAUGCAAGUCGAGCGAACGGACGAGAAGCUUGCUUUUCUGAUGUUAGCGGCGGACGGGUGAGUAACACGUGGAUAACCUACCUAUAAGACUGGGAUAACUUCGGGAAACCGGAUCUAAUACCGGAUAAUAUUUUGAACCGCAUGGUUCAAAAGUGAAAGACGGUCUUGCUGUCACUUAUAGAUGGAUCCGCGCUGCAUUAGCUAGUUGGUACGGUAACGGCUUACCAAGGCAACGAUGCAUAGCCGACCUGAGAGGGUGAUCGGCCACACUGGAACUGAGACACGGUCCAGACUCCUACGGGAGGCAGCAGUAGGGAAUCUUCCGCAAUGGGCGAAAGCCUGACGGAGCAACGCCGCGUGAGUGAUGAAGGUCUUCGGAUCGUAAAACUCUGUUAUUAGGGAAGAACAUAUGUGUAAGUAACUGUGCACAUCUUGACGGUACCUAAUCAGAAAGCCACGGCUAACUACGUG